UCAANUCCGCGCGUGCAGUGGGUACGGGCAGGCUGGAGUGCGGCAGGGGUGGCUGGAAUUCCUGGUGUAGCGGUGGAAUGCGCAGAUNUCAGGAAGAACACCGAUGGCGAAGGCAGGCCACUGGGCCGUCACUGACGCUGAGGAGCGAAAGCGUGGGGAGCGAACAGGAUUAGAUACCCUGGUAGUCCACGCUGUAAACGUUGGGAACUAGGUGUGGGGUCUGUUCCACGGAUUCUGCGCCGGAGCUAACGCGUUAAGUUCCCCGCCUGGGGAGUACGGCCGCAAGGCUAAAACUCAAAGGAAUUGACGGGGGCCCGCACAAGCGGCGGAGCAUGCGGAUUAAUUCGAUGCAACGCGAAGAACCUUACCAAGGCUUGACAUGUGCCGGGAGGGCGCGGAGACGCGUCUGCCUUCGGGCCGGUUCACAGGUGGUGCAUGGUUGUCGUCAGCUCGUGUCGUGAGAUGUUGGGUUAAGUCCCACAACGAGCGCAACCCUUGUCCCGUGUUGCCAGCGCGUUGUGGCGGGGACUCACGGGGGACUGCCGGGGUCAACUCGGAGGAAGGUGGGGACGACGUCAAAUCAUCAUGCCCCUUAUGCCUUGGGCUUCACGCAUGCUACAAUGGCCGGUACAGAGGGUGGCGAUGCCGUGAGGCGGAGCGAAUCUCGUAAAGCCGGUCUCAGUUCGGAUCGGGGUCUGCAACUCGGGCCC
rnacentral:rRNA from 1 species